AAAAUGGACCAAUCAGCAGGAUGUGGGUGGGGCCAGAUAAGGGAAUAAAACCAGGGCACUUGAGCCAGCAGCAGCAACCUGCUCAGGUGCCCUUCCACCUUGUUCUUCUGCUCUUUGCAAUAAAUUUUACUGCUGCUCAUUCUUUGGGUCCGCACUGCCUUUAUGAGGUAUAACACCGUGAAGGUUGGCAGCCUCACUUCUAAAGCCAGCGAGACCACAAACCCACCAGGAGGGACAAACAACUCUGGACGUGCCACUUUAUGAACUGUAACAGUCAGUGCAAAGGUCUGCAGCUUCACUCCUGAGGCUAGCGAGACCAGGAACCCACCAGAAGGGACAAACAACUCCAGACGCCUCACCUUAAAAGCUGUAACACUUACAGUGAAGCUCUGCAGCUUCACUCAAACCCAGCGAGACCACGAACCCACCAGAAGGAAGAAACUCCGAACACGUCCGAACAUCACAAGGAACAAACUCCAGAUACCAUCUUUAAGAACUGUAACACUCACUGCAAGGUUAAAAGAAGAAAACUGUACUGAAGAAAGUAACCAAUAGUCCAUUAGUAAAUCGGGUGAUAAAAUGUUUGAAGUGAAGAACCAAAGUUGGC
rnacentral:lncRNA from 1 species